AGUGCUGCGAGGCGGCCAUCUUGCACUCUGCGGAGUAAGGAGCGGAGGGCUGGGCUGUUGGAGAGAAUGAUGCCAGUGCAAAGAUGGCCUGGCACCCCCUGGAUCCAGUCGCCUGCUGAGGCUAGGCUGCACUUCUGCCCAUGGGUGCCACCAGACAUCCUCAUGCAGUGUCCUGUUCAAUCUGUGUUCAGCUGCUACAUUCAACUACUUUCCCAAAGCGAAAAAGUAAAGCUACUGUAUGUAUGACUCCUGUUUCUAUGGAAAGAAGAACCUGGGUCUACUAGUUCCGUGUUCUUGAUGAAGGUGGUUCUCCUCUCUUCUUGGUCAGCCCACCUCUUCAGAAACCCAGAGAGAUUUCUGAGGAGGUUGGCAGCUUGAACCUGGAGCCUGAACCAAAGAAGCUGUCUCUUUGACCCUCUCCCCAACUCCCUCCUCUCUGCCCCAGGCCCGGGAUCCGGGCUAUCCAGGGUUCAGGGGAAAGGAGAACCUCUGGGACCCUCCCUCGGCACUGCUGAGACCUCUACGUCUCCAUGUUCUGGGAGGCAUUGGGGGUUAAUUUUCUCUGACAUUUUUUCACCCCAUUAGAUGCACCAGUUCAGCUGGAGGGUAAACAGAGAGCACUGGUCUCUUUUUGAUGUCCUGGGAGCUUGUGUGUGUUUGUUGUGUUUGUUGCCUGUCACCGACACAGAUGGUGAAAUGGGCCAGAUGUAAAGGAUGACAGCGGCCACAAGAUGCCGGGGAGCUUUGCUGGGGGUUGGAUGACCACACACUUCAUUCCACAUCUGAACCACUCUCACCCGCAAGUCAGAGUAUUAAGCAGAGAACCCCCCUGCGCCCCCAGAGAGCUGGAGACGUUUUCUGGCAGAGAAGCCCAGAGCACCGGCAAGCUGCUUCGAGAAGUUCCUCUGUGUCUUCCCAGUCUCCACCCUGGGCGAGUCUGUGGCUGAGAAGCUGGCCUGCUCCAGCUGUAGGGGAGGCAAGUUCUAAACCUCAGGUGCCCCCGUCACCCCUGCCCAGUGAUCAGAUCAGUGCUCUGUGGCUUCUCCCCCAACUAACAUCUCCCCUGACCAUGCAAGGCUGAGCAUCAGGAUCUCAUUUUUAAAUUAUACGUCACUGGGCACAAAUAUAUUCAAUAUCCAUUUGGCUUUGAAAUCUAUUUUAAUCUAGCAACUGCACUUCUGGGAAUUUAUCUUACAGAACUAUUGGAACAAGUGACCCAGAGUGUAUGUAGUGGCUAAACUCAGAAGCAACCAAUGGCUCAAAAACAGUAUGCUUUUUAGGAAAACAAAACUACGAAAGGAAAUGCACUUGAUACUGUGUUUGAACUGGUCUGACAAGCCCUCCUGAUAAGACGCACAGCCCAAGGAAGGCCUGGAUACCAUGGAAAAAAUGGUCACUGUCAGGACUUCCUGUCCUGAUCCCACUCCAGCUCGAUCCUACUCUCAUUUCCUUCUGAAGGGGAGCCAUGGGACCUCUUUGUUCCCCACUGUUGAGGGAAGCUAACCUCUUCCCUGAGCUUGCCAUGAAGGUGAUUCACCCCAUCCUUCACUCAGGCCAGGGAGAAGAAAAAGAUAACAGUUUUUGGCAAUUCGGCCUGUUAGAAAAGGGGGUCUAGGGCUCACCCCUCUUCCAGUCAACUGCAGGCCAAGGAUGGAUGCAUCAAAGAGAAGCCAAAGACAAAGCAAUUCUGGACUGCAGCUGGCAAAGGGCUUAACUCUGGGCAAGCUGGGAGUCGACAAGAUACAUUUUUGCCCAGAUCAGACAAUGAUCUUGACACAAGGGUAAAAGAUGGUGUGACUCUGGCUUCCCAACAGAUUCUGUCUUUGGACAUCAAAUGUAGAAAACUGAGCUACUCACUCACCUCGGUUCCAGACACUGACUUUUCUCCUAUAAUUAAAGGGGUACAUGUGUCUGUCA